UACGUAGGAGACGAGCGUUGUCCGGAGUUACUGGGCGUAAAGGGUGCGUAGGCGGGUCUUAAGUCAGGGGUGAAAUCCUGGAGCUCAACUCCAGAACUGCCUUUGAUACUGAGGAUCUUGAGUUCGGGAGAGGUGAGUGGAACUGCGAAGUGUAGAGGUGAAAUUCGUAGAUAUUCGCAAGAACACCAGUGGCGAAGGCGGCUCACUGGCCCGAUACUGACGCUGAGGCACGAAAGCGUGGGGAGCAAACAGG
rnacentral:rRNA from 1 species